rnacentral:rRNA from 1 species
GCUGAAGGUACCAGAUGAAUAAGCAUCGGCUAACUCCGUGCCAGCAGCCGCGGUAAUACGGAGGGUGCAAGCGUUAUCCGGAUUCACUGGGUUUAAAGGGUGCGUAGGCGGUCMAUUAAGUCAGUGGUGAAAUAUCCGGGCUYAACCMKSACAGUGCCAUUGAUACUVUCKGUCUUGAAUAUAGUGGAGGUAAGCGGAAUAUGUCAUGUAGCGGUGAAAUGCUUAGAUAUGUCACAGAACACCAAUUGCGAAGGCAGCUUAYUACGCKAAUAUUGACACUGAGGCACGAAAGCGUGGGGAUCAAACAGGAUUAGAUACCCUGGUAGUCCACSCCUUAAACGACGCAYACYAGAC